UACGGGUAGGGCAAGCGUUGUUCGGAUUUACUGGGCGUAAAGGGCGCGUAGGCGGCCAGCACAAGUCAGUUGUGAAAUCUCCGGGCUUAACUCGGAAAGGUCAACUGAUACUGUGCGACUAGAGUGCAGAAGGGGCAACUGGAAUUCUCGGUGUAGCGGUGAAAUGCGUAGAUAUCGAGAGGAACACCUGCGGCGAAGGCGGGUUGCUGGGCUGACACUGACGCUGAUGCGCGAAAGCCAGGGGAGCAAACGGG
rnacentral:rRNA from 1 species